UUCAUACUAAACAAAACACCAUCUAAGAGGAACACACAAAUAAGAUGAUAACCGACCUCUCUUAAAAGGAACAUUUGCUCUGAUGUCAAUUGUUGGAAAAUUCUCAAACGAAAAAUUUUAUACUAGGUGAAUCAAAAUAUCAGAAGAAGCAAAACAAAUUGAUUGUACAUCCAUAAUCUCAUCAAAAUAUUUUAUUACUCGAUCGGCAAUUUUUACAAUCACAAAAUUGAAAAUCAUCUCAUACAAUUUUUGCACGGACAAAAUUGGAAACCUCUCAACUACAAAUUUUACACGAAAAAUUGCAAAC
rnacentral:lncRNA from 1 species